rnacentral:rRNA from 1 species
UGAGUACAGUGGCGUACGGGUGAGUAACACGUGACUAACCUACCCUCGAGUGGGGAAUAACUUCGGGAAACCGAGGCUAAUACCGCAUAACAUCUUCGGAUCAAAUGCGCAAGCAGCUUGAGGAGGGGUCGCGGCCGAUUAGCUAGUUGGCGGGGUAAUGGCCCACCAAGGCGAUGAUCGGUAGCCGGCCUGAGAGGGCGCACGGCCACACUGGAACUGAAACACGGUCCAGACUCCUACGGGAGGCAGCAGUGGGGAAUUUUGCGCAAUGGGGGAAACCCUGACGCAGCAACGCCGCGUGGAGGAUGAAGCCCUUUGGGGCGUAAACUCCUUUCGAUCGGGACGAUGAUGACGGUACCGGAUGAAGAAGCACCGGCUAACUCUGUGCCAGCAGCCGCGGUAAUACAGAGGGUGCAAGCGUUAUUCGGAAUUACUGGGCGUAAAGCGCGUGCAGGCGGGCCGGCAAGUCUGAUGUGAAAGCCCCGGGCUUAACCCGGGAAGUGCAUUGGAAACUGCUGGUCUUGAGUUCUGGAGAGGAAGGGGGAAUUCCCGGUGUAGAGAUGAAAUUCGUAGAGAUCGGGAGGAAUACCAGUGGCGAAGGCGCCCUUCUGGACGGCAACUGACGCUGAGCCGCGAAAGCGUGGGGAGCAAACAGGAUUAGAUACCCUGGUAGUCCACGCUGUAAACGAUGAGC